GUAUGAAAAGCCUAGUGGACAUGGCACCUGCCCGGUAAGCAGAAGGUUGUGGGUUCGAUUCCCGCCCCUGGACA